AUGGAAAAAAUCAUAAAACCCCAAUUUUUUCCCAAAUAAUACAUGCAAACUGAUUUAUUUUCUAACCAUGAUGUAGGUUAGAUGUAUGUAUGCAAUAAUUAAACCGAUAAACACAUUAAUGAAACAUGUAUACUAUUUGUUAAUAAUGAAUACUUUUAUUGGAGCUGGGUUUAAACCAAAGGUCUUUAGAAAACCAGAAAAUGAGUUACCAUGGUGAUCUAACGAGCUGAGAGCCAUUAUUGUGACACUGUAAACUCUGACCUUCUACUUGUUACAACUCAAGAACAGUUCAGAGUUCAGUACUUGCUGUGAUCCGUAGUGUUGCUGUCAGAGGUCUCAGGUUGUGACUGUGUCUGCUGAAGUAUAGGUGGUAGACAUGGAGUCCAACGUGUUCUUCUGCAUAAUGCGUGUCCAUGACGUGCAGUAUAACGCGCUAUUAAUGUUUGUUUUUCUCCUCUUUCUUUUUCAUUCACACAGAGCUCAGAGUGAGGCCUGGACAAGCUGCCACUCUUCAGUGUUGGGGUCCCAGAGAUGCACACAUCACCCUGCUGGAGUGGAGCAGACCGGAGCUCAUCUCACAGGGUUAUGUGUUCUUCUUCCAAGACCAGCGCUCGUACGAGAACUACCAGCACGAGUCCUUCAAAGGCCGAGUGCAGCUGAGAGACUCAUCCAUGAUGGAUGGAGAUGUUACUGUGAUUGUGAGGAACGUCAGGGUCAGUGAUACGGGAAUAUACAAGUGUGAGAUUACAACCAGCAGCACCAGAAAUGACGAGAGAGUCGUCAGCGAGUUCAAGCACUCCAUCAACCUCACAGUCACAGACACAGGUUUCACAGAAGGAGAGUCCAAAGAAAGAGGACACAAGGAUGGAGGAGACAAGAAUCUAUCUUUUUUAAAUUUUGUGUUAAUUCUGUCAUGCGGACUCCUUGGUGUUAUGGUUAUUGUUACUGUAGCUGUAAAUAUCUACAGGAAAAAAAGUUUCUAAAGCUAUGUGUAUCAUCAUAGUAUCAUCUGUAUGUAGCAUUUCUCUUCUCUGAUCCUGUAAUCACAGUUACAACUUACAACAAUGUCAUGUUAGCAAGCAGACGAUACUAACAAAGUUGCUGUGGAUAUCAGAGUCACAAUAUUUUAUUAACACCUAAGAAAAUUAUAUUAGCACUAACCUCACAAAUGUGCUUCUGGAAGAAUGGUCAAAAUUCCCAACACACUCGUAAACCCUGAUAUGAAUAUCUAUCUAUCUAUCUAUCUAUCUAGCGUGGGAUAGACCCGCUCGCCUCGCAAGCAAUCGAGCUGUUAUUACCGUUGACAAAGCGCAGAAGCACAGACACACAAGACCAGGCGGAAAGAGACGAUCAUUUGGUGAAAAUGAGAAUCUGCAAAUGCAACAUGUGGAACACGGAGAGUGGAAUAUGUAAACAAACCGGUUAACAUAACCCCCCCCCCCAAAAAAAAACAGUUAAGCUGGAACACCGGGGCUGUGGAGAAGGGUCUGGCUGCAGCCAUUGUGGAGCUCCACAGUAACCGGAAACACGUGACCUCCACAGUAACCAGAAACACGUGACCUCCACAGUAGGCAGAAAUACGUUCCUGCGUGGAUCAUCGACUGCGGAAAUCUUGCAAGUGGAUCGUAAAGAUGCUCAUAUCAAUUUGGAGUUCUGCCUCCAAGCCAGAAUUGCAGGAAUGCACAACAUGUUGCAGAAGACUCUUUCACUGCCCUCUGUGCCCCACUUUCAGCCCUACUGUCAAGGCAAAGAUUGAGGAGCAUAUAAAUGGACACAUUAAAAAUGCUUUGCCUUUCAAAAGACAAAAUGAUAUACCGGUGCACUUUCACUGCCCUGUCUGUAACAUGACAGUAAUACAGCAUGGGGAUAUGGCAAGGCAAUUUUUCUCAUGUCAUCAUUCAGGACUGCUCCCCACUGAACUCUCCGAGGAGCCCCAUCUCCCUCUCGAUGUCUUGUCUCCAGUAUCUAAACCAUUUUCUGAAUCUUCAGUAGAACAUUCAUGUGUUCUACCCUCUGUGCUAAAUGAAACUGUGGCUUGUGGAAAGUCCUUGAAAAUGAAACCCCCUCACUGUGGUCUUAGUCUUCUUAAAAAAAACUUCAAGGCUCACAUGAUGAGGAGGCAUUCAAACAGAUCAAUAAAUGUUUGCCUGGCCUGUCAUCUGCAGUGUUUUUGUGUAGAGGGACUUCUUCCUCUUUGUUUUUCAGUUUGCAGAGGACAUGGAGCUCUUUUUAAAAGCUUGUGCUGAUGAGCAGGGACUAUGGGUCAAUGCGAUGUUUGACAUUUAAUGGACAGGUGAAGGCACUGGCUGUUUGUUUGUGUUUUUUAUGUGUUGUUGUUUGUUUUUCAGUGUACAGAAUUCCAGUUAAACGUGUUAUUAAAUAUCCACUUGUUUCCAUGUCCAUACUUAUAGUAAAAAAAUUAAGUGUAAAUGCAACAGCAUUGUUUAUACUUGUAACUUCAGAGUAAAAAGCUUAUUGUUGAUAUUAACAUUAAUAUAUUACCCUGUAAUCAAUAAUAUUUUUAUACAUUUUACGCAUCAACCAUCUGGGCUCUAUCCUGGCCAUUUGUGGCCACUUGACUUCUCUUUUUGUUUUGUUUUUUUGACGACUACACUGCAGUGGACCAAAAGAAUGACAUAGGUUUGAUCUUAAGGAUCUAAUACUUGUGUGUGUUUGUGCAUGACAUUGCAAUGCAAAUAUGUAUUUGCAAGAUAGACUGAAAUAAAUAAUGACGCAUCAAAUAUUA